UCUAGUCAAGAUUGCAUCAUUUAACCUUUGAACAUGUAUGCAAAUAUAUUUUUGUUGUGUUUUUUUUUCUUAUUCCUUCAUGUGGAUCUUCCACAUCUUCUCUCCGUGGUAAGCAAAUCAAAAGAAAUAUUAUCAAGAUAAUGCCUAUCCUAAACUCUUGUGAGCACUACCAACCUUGGGGCCCCUUUUGCAAUCUUUUGCCCAUAUAGAAUAACGAAUGUAAAGCAGGUACGCGUGUACUAUUUUAGAGCAAAACCCUGAAAUCAAGGAUUGCAAUUUCAGCUCCAACCACUAGGCAUUGUGCUUAGGAGACAUUGAUGUGACCAAAGAAAGCGAAAGAAUUCCUGUUUGAAAGGCAAUAAUUCACAUCAAACAGCAAAUUCUUGGAAGAAUUGGUAAAAUCCCUACUAUCCAAACAAGGCCUGAAAUUUGAAGACCUUAUAGGGUAGCCAUGGCCAUG
rnacentral:lncRNA from 1 species